GACGAACGCUGGCGGCGUGCUUAACACAUGCAAGUCGAACGGAAAGGCCUGCUUUCCCUUGUGGUUUGCGUGUACUCGAGUGGCUAACUGGUGAGUAACACGUUAGUGAUCUGCCCCCAACUUGGUUCUAAGCCUGGGAAACUGUGUCUAAUUCCCGUUAGGACUGCAGGGUGCUGCCUGUUGUGGAAAUCGUUUUUCUAGUGGUUGGGGAUGCGCUCGCGGCCUAUCUGCUUGUUGAGGUGGUAAUGGCCUACCAAGGCGGCGACGGGUCGCCGGACUGAGAGGGUGGACGGCCGAAUUGGGACUGAGAUACGGCCCAGACUCCUACGAGAGGCAGCAGAGGGGAAGAAUGCACAAUGAGCGGAAGCCUGAAGCAGCGACGCAGCGAGGAAGAUGACGGCAUUCGGGUAGUAAACUACUUGCGAACGAGAGGAAGCCACCUGGUUGGAAGGGUGGUGACGGUAGUGGUAGAAGAAGCACCGGCUAACUACGUG
rnacentral:rRNA from 1 species